GACGAACGCUGGCGGCGUGCUUAACACAUGCAAGUCGAACGGAAAGGCCUCUUUCGGGGGGUACUCGAGUGGCGAACGGGUGAGUAACACGUGAGUAACCUGCCCUUGACUUUGGGAUAACUUCAGGAAACUGGGGCUAAUACCGGAUAGGAGCUCCUGCUGCAUGGUGGGGGUUGGAAAGUUUCGGCGGUUGGGGAUGGACUCGCGGCUUAUCAGCUUGUUGGUGGGGUAGUGGCUUACCAAGGCUUUGACGGGUAGCCGGCCUGAGAGGGUGACCAGCCACAUUGGGACUGAGAUACGGCCCAGACUCCUACGGGAGGCAGCAGUGGGGAAUAUUGCACAAUGGGUGGAAGCCUGAUGCAGCAACGCCGUGUGCGGGAUGACGGCCUUCGGGUUGUAAACCGCUUUCGCUCAUGACGAAGCUUUGUGUGACGGUAGUGGGUAAAGAAGCACCGGCUAACUACGUG
rnacentral:rRNA from 1 species